rnacentral:rRNA from 1 species
GACGAACGCUGGCGGCGUGCUUAACACAUGCAAGUCGAGCGAGAAAGCUCCUUCGGGAGUGAGUACAGCGGCGAACGGGUGAGUAACACGUGGGCAACCUGCCCAGGGGAGCGGGACAACCCGGGGAAACUCGGGCUAAUACCGCAUGAUGCGUCAUGUCUCAAGGCGUGACGCCAAAAGGUAGCUUCGGCCUCCGCCCCUGGAUGGGCCCGCGGCGCAUUAGCUGGUUGGUGGUGUAACGGCCUACCAAGGCGACGAUGCGUAGCUGGCCUGAGAGGACGAUAAGCCGCACUGGGACUGAGACACCGCCCCGAAUCCUGCGGGAGGAAGCAGUGGGGAAUGUUGUGCAAUGGGCGAAAGCCUGACGCAGGAACGCCGCGUGAGGGAAGAAGACUUUCUGGUUGUAAACCUCUUUCAGGAGGAACGAAGCGUCCGAGGUUAAUAGCCUACGGGGUGACGGUACCUCCAGAAGAAGCCCCGGCUAACUAC